UGCAGUCGAACGGUGACGAUGGAGCUUGCUCUGUCUGAUCAGUGGCGAACGGGUGAGUAACACGUGAGUAACCUGCCCCCGACUCUGGAAUAACCGUGGGAAACGACGGCUAAUACCGGAUAUGAGACGCACAGGCAUCUGUGUGUCUGGAAAGAUUUAUCGGUCAGGGAUGGACUCGCGGCCUAUCAGCUUGUUGGUGGGGUAAUGGCCUACCAAGGCGACGACGGGUAGCCGGCCUGAGAGGGCGACCGGCCACACUGGGACUGAGAUACGGCCCAGACUCCUACGGGAGGCAGCAGUGGGGAAUAUUGCACAAUGGGCGCAAGCCUGAUGCAGCGACGCCGCGUGAGGGAUGAAGGCCUUCGGGUUGUAAACCUCUUUCAGCAGGGAAGAAGCGAAAGUGACGGUACCUGCAGAAGAAGCGCCGGCUAACUACGUGCCAGCAGCCGCGGUAAUACGUAGGGCGCAAGCGUUGUCCGGAAUUAUUGGGCGUAAAGAGCUCGUAGGCGGUUUGUCGCGUCUGCUGUGAAAACCUGAGGCUCAACCUCGGGCUUGCAGUGGGUACGGGCAGACUAGAGUGCGGUAGGGGUGACUGGAAUUCCUGGUGUAGCGGUGGAAUGCGCAGAUAUCAGGAGGAACACCGAUGGCGAAGGCAGGUCACUGGGCCGCAACUGACGCUGAGGAGCGAAAGCAUGGGGAGCGAACAGGAUUAGAUACCCUGGUAGUCCAUGCCGUAAACGUUGGGCACUAGGUGUGGGGCUCAUUCCACGAGUUCCGUGCCGCAGCAAACGCAUUAAGUGCCCCGCCUGGGGAGUACGGCCGCAAGGCUAAAACUCAAAGAAAUUGACGG
rnacentral:rRNA from 1 species